UACGUAGGGCGCAAGCGUUGUCCGGAAUUAUUGGGCGUAAAGAGCUCGUAGGCGGUUUUGUCGCGUCUGUCGUGAAAGCCCACGGCUUAACUGUGGGGUCUGCGGUGGAUACGGGGCAGACUAGAGGGCAGGUAGGGGGGAGAAAUGGAAAUUUCCCCGGGUGUAGCGGGUGAAAAUGCGCAGAUAUCGGGGAAGGAACAC
rnacentral:rRNA from 1 species